rnacentral:rRNA from 1 species
UACGUAGGGUGCGAGCGUUAAUCGGAAUUACUGGGCGUAAAGCGUGCGCAGGCGGUUCGUUAAGUCAGCUGUGAAAGCCCCGGGCUUAACCUGGGAAUGGCGGUUGAAACUGGCGAACUUGAAUCUGGCAGAGGGGGGUGGAAUUCCACGUGUAGCAGUGAAAUGCGUAGAGAUGUGGAGGAACACCGAUGGCGAAGGCAGCCCCCUGGGGUAACGACUGACGCUCAUGCACGAAAGCGUGGGGAGCAAACAGG